GACGAACGCUGGCGGCGUGCUUAACACAUGCAAGUCGAACGGAGCGGCGAACGGGCGAGUAACACGUGGGUGACCUGCCCUGCACUUCGGGAUAAGACUGGGAAACUGGGUCUAAUACCGGAUAGUGUGGGAUGGGCCCGCGGCCUAUCGGCUUGUUGGUUGGGUAAUGGCCUACCAAGGCGGCGACUGGUAGCCGGCCUGAGAGGGUGGACGGCCGCAUAGGGACUGAGACACGGACCAGUCUUGUACGGGAGGCAGCGGUAGCGAAUGUUGCACAAUGGGCGGAAGCCUGAUGCAGCGACGCCGCGUGGGGGAUGAAGGCCUUCGGGUUGUAAACUCCUUUCACCAUCGACGCGGUAGGUGGAGAAGAAGCACCGGCUAACUACGUGCCAGCAGCCGCGGUAAUAC
rnacentral:rRNA from 1 species